CAGCUCUUAGAAGCAGAAAUUGGACCAGCCAGUGAUAUAAAAACAAAAUAAUCCGUCUUAAGGUUUGUUCUCCACCAGGUGUUGGUGUUUCUUAUCCUAGAAAAACGCCCAGACUGGCCCCAAUAACCCUGCGCAGCUUCAGCACCAGCUCCGGGAAUCAAAGGCAUUCACCUUCCAGGUAUAUCCAGAGCACCUGCUGGCGGUCAAAGGUCGGAGUAAAGCCAGAGACCUCAAAACAAACAGAGUGGGGUGCAGGCUCCCAAGAAAGCCAUAGACCAAGCAAAGAGGCAGCUGGAGCUGUCUCUAAAGUCACCAGUGCCUGGGCGAGAGGCACCCAUCUGCUGCUGGUGGAAUGUGCUGCCUCCCACGCCGGUCGUGGAAGAGCAGAGAAGGAGUUCUGGCCCUGCACAGAGGCAGGGAGGCAGCUGCAGGUGGUCUGCGGAGGCGCUGCAGUGACCGAUCCCGUGGAUGCCGCCAGCCUGCUCCCAGGCUUCCGAGGGCCAGGGCCUCCUCCACAUGCCCGAACUGGGCAGAGUCCCUUUAUCCUUUCACAUAAUGUCCUUGGUGAUGAUGAACUUGACGAUGAUGAACUUGACCUUGACAAUGAUAGUACAGAUGAAAGGUAACUUUGCAGGUGAGUGAUGGCUCUAAGGUGAGAAAUGAGUGUGGAGUUGAGAGAUGAUAGUGCAGGUUAAAUGUAACUGUUCAGGUGAAUGAUUACCGUUGAUGUGAGAAUAACGGUGCAUGUCAGUGACGGCUAUGCAGUGAAAGAUGAUUGGGGAGGGGAGAGACAGAGUUCAGGUGAGAAACGGUUGUGCAGGUGAGUGAUGGCUAUGCAGUUCAGAGAUGGCUGUGGAGGUGAGUGAUGAGUAUGCUGGUGAGAUAUGGGUGCGCAGGUGAGUAAUGGCUUUGUAGGUCAGUGAUGAGUAUGCAGGAGAGUGAAGAUGGUGCAGGGAGUAAUGAGCGUGCAGGUUCGAGAAGGCUGUGCAGGUGAGUGAUGCUGUGCAAGUGAGAGAUGAGUGUGAAGGGGAAAGAUGAUAGUGCAGGUGAAAGGUAACUGUGCAGGUGAGUGAUAGCUCUGCAGGUGAGAGAUGAGUGUGAAGUUGAGAGAUGAUAGUGCAGGUGAAAUGUAACUGUUCAUGUGAGUGAUCACCGUUGAGGUGAGAAUAACUGUGCAUGUCAGUGAUGGCGGUGCAGUGAAAGAUGAUUGCGCAGGGCAGAGUGAGAGUGCCGGUGAGAAAUGAUUGUGCAGGAGAGUGAUGAGUGUGCAGGUUAGAGAUGACUGUGCAUAUGAGAGAUGACUGUGAAGGUGAAUGAAAAUUGUGAGGGAGUGAUGAGAGUGCAGGUGAGUGAUGGCGGUGCAAGUGAAAGAUUACUGUGUAGGUCAGUGAUGGCUGUGCAGUGAGAGACGAGUAUGCAGGUGAAAGAUGAUGGUGCAGCUGAGAGGUAAGUCUGAAGGCGAGAGAUGACUGUGCCGGUGAGAGGAAACUAUGCAGGUGACUGAUAAUGUGGACAUGAGAGAUGACCGUGUAGGUUAGUAAUAAUUUUGCAGUGAGAGAUGAGUGUGUAAAUGAGAGCGGAUUGUGCAGGUGACAGGUAACUCUGAAGGUAAGAGAUGACUAUGCAGGUGAAUAUAGCUGUGCAGGGGAAAGAUGAUUGUGCAGAAGAGAAUGACAGGGUAGGUGAGAAAUGAUUUUGCAGGUGAGUACUGAGUGUGCAAGUAAGAGAUGGCUGUGCAGGUGGGUUAUUGUAGUGCACGUGAGAGAUAACUCUGCAUUGAGGAAAGACAGUGCAGGUGAGUGAUGAGUGUGCAGGUAAGAGAUGGCUGUGCAGGUGAGUGAGUAUUUGGCAGGUGAGAGAUGGCUAUGUAGGUGAGAGUUGGCUGUGUAGGUGAGUUAUGUGACUGCAUAUGAGUGAUGAGCAUCCAGGUGAGAGACGGCUUUGCAGGGGAUUGAUGAGUGUGCCUGUUAAAGACUUUGCAUGUGAAAUGAGUGUGCAUUUGAGAAAUGGCUGUGCAGGUGAGUGAUGAGUGUGCAGGUGAGUGAUAUUUGUGCAGUUGAGAGAUGAGU